CAGAGCCAUUUCCAGCAUUGCAGCCGUCUUGCCUCUCCUCAUGUCCUCCCUCCCCUGUUUUACGAGCUCCUGGAAAGGGGGAGCCUGGGAACAAGCCAUCUCAAGCAGCAGUGCUGCUAUGGAGUCCAGAAACACCAGGAAACAAAACAAAACAGAAGCCCUGGGAUCUAAUAAACAACACGCCGUCCCUGUGGACUUUUACUCACUUAGAAUGAUUAUUUCAACAGUAUCCAAAAGGCCAGUGUAUAGACUGAUACGGGCUACAGUAUCAGGGAUUCCGCCUUUGCAUCCACAGUGAGCACAUGGAGAAGCGGUACCCUUCAGCAAGGUGUGUGGACACAAAGAGAAGACACGUGGCUAGACCUGUCUGAGGCUCAGAACCAACCCUUCUUCCAGCUUGGUAGACAGUCGUUUUGGCCUCUGGGGAAAAUAGAAAAGAGUUGUUGUAUCUCCUUCGACAAAGGAAGAUACAUCCAGUCUGACUGCAAUAAUUGCAAGUGGACUAACCACACAGAAUCGCCUUCAAAGACACCACCCAAAUAACCCAACCAAGCCAAAGCAUUAAUUCAUGUACGAAAGCAGAGUUCUGCUGGAGGACAGAAAAACCUACAGAAAACAAACCUUGCCAUGUAGCCCAGCAUGAUGCAGACAGAAGAACCACCCUCCUCGUUCAUCUGGACACUAACCAAAAUAAAGUCAGGAAUUUUAGUACACUGCUGACUAAUAGGAUUAAAACCAGGUACAUGAAAUUUGAGAACGUCUCCUGACACUUAAGGCUGUCUUGGCAAUCUGGCAUCACACAGGAGCAAAACCAUGAUAUGAGAAGCAAUGUAACAAGCUGAACACCAUCGCUCAGGGGCUCCAUGCAAUCAGAAUAUCUCUAUCAUCCUGUUGUUUUCUCAUACACCCUGGAAAACUGAGAGCAGCUAAAUAGUCUGCAACAAAGUAUUCAAAAGAAAUACACAUGCUGCUCCCUCCAGUCUUUAAAGAGUCUGAAUCCCAGCUCUCCUUGAAAAUAAAAUGGAGAUUCAAAGUGAGUUUCUCUGCUUGUGACACACAUUAUUGCUGAGGCAGCUGAUGCUUUGCCCCAAAAAAACAUACGACAAAAAUCUUUCUCUGGCCAGGAUCCUCAAGUGCUCAUAUCACAUCUCUUGAGGGGCAAAGAGAGGAGAAGCUCACAGACAGGAGGCGGCAAAGCUCCCUCAGGAAUCCCAGCAGUCUAUCCCGUGUCAGUACAGGGUUGAACAUGUGUUAUGAACCUGAAGACACCUGGUAAUGCCAGAUUUAGAUUGUGUUCAGACCUUGUGAUAGCGUGCAGUUGUGGCUGAUCUCAUGACACAGUUCAGGCUUGGAAGCCACACUUCCAUUUUACAAGAAUCAGUGGUUACCCAGCCUUAUUCUGUGCAGAAACAUAGCAUUUGGGAGACAAGAAGUUCCUUUGUACUUACAUUUUUAGAACACUUUAAGUCUGUCACAAAAGGUUUUUAAAUUGAAACACUUGCCAUACAGACUAGACCUGUUCAUAAUUGGCAUAAACAUGUACAACUGCCUUCAAUACUUAUACACAGACAAAGGGGAUUUUUACCCAGCAUUCUGCAGCCAUUCCAAGUUUUAGCAUCAUAACAGCUUACAGGAUGGGACAUGGAUCGCACAUCAUAGUGUUUGAUGCAUUAAAAAGGUUUUUUUUUUCAGUCCUUUUGCAGUACAUCUGCAGGAGACUACUUUCAAGCUGGGACUAUCACUACAUCGAAUUGGAAUAAAUACAUAUUUUGCAUGCUUAUAAACACACAUACACAAAGUACAAAUAUGCAGACUGUGUACUUCUCUGUAAGAACUCAAAGAAUUUUUCAAGCAUCAGUUGAUUAACCAAAUAAAAUCACAGAAAGGGACGCAAAAUUUCCCACAUCUGCAUUACAGUGGAGUAAAUUGAGGUAAAACCCCAGCAAAGAGCGACUCCCCAGGUCCCAGGCUGUCAGGAGUAGCAAGUGCCAGCCCUCAGCCAAAAGCUCACCCUGGCUUUGCUACAGGGCUUGGUUCUGCCACAGCACUCUUGCUGAAGAUCCUACAAAGCACUUAUAUUUAAUCAGGAAAAUCAAAUGGAUCUCAGUGCAUAUUGGAAGCACAUGAAUAGAAGCAGAAUUCCUUGUGAUGAUGACAAUGGUACAGACUUGCCAACAAAUGCUCCAGUUUUCAUACCGGGGCUGAAGCAGACAUUGAUCUUUCCUUGAAACUUUAACAAUUCUCCCGGAAGAUCCUUCUGCAGAUUCAGGACUCAGCAAAGCUCUUCAGGCCUGGGCCACCCUGGAUUUUAUUUUCUAAAAAUAUAUUUUUUUAAUUCUUGAUUCCCUAUCUUGUGAGCCCAAGUAAAACUGUA